UACGAAGGGGGCUAGCGUUGUUCGGAAUCACUGGGCGUAAAGCACACGCAGGCGGAUCGAUAAGUCGGGGGUGAAAGCCCGGGGCUCAACCUCGGAAUUGCCUUCGAUACUGUCGGUCUCGAGUCCGGGAGAGGUGAGUGGAAGUCCUAGUGUAGAGGUGAAAUUCGUAGAUAUUAGGAAGAACACCAGUGGCGAAGGCGGCUCACUGGACCGGUACUGACGCUCAGGUGCGAAAGCGUGGGGAGCAAACAGG
rnacentral:rRNA from 1 species